rnacentral:rRNA from 1 species
UACGUAGGGGGCAAGCGUUAUCCGGAUUUACUGGGUGUAAAGGGAGCGUAGACGGUGAUGCAAGUCUGAUGUGAAAACCCGGCUCAACUGCGGGAUUGCAUUGGAAACUGUAUGACUCGAGUACUGGAGGGGCAGGCGGAAUUCCUGGUGUAGCGGUGAAAUGCGUAGAUAUCAGGAGGAACACCGGUGGCGAAGGCGGCCUGCUGGACAGCAACUGACGUUGAUGCUCGAAAGCGUGGGGAGCAAACAG